GAUGAACGCUGACGGCGUGCCUAAUACAUGCAAGUCGAGCGAACGGACGAGAAGCUUGCUUCUCUGAUGUUAGCGGCGGACGGGUGAGUAACACGUGGAUAACCUACCUAUAAGACUGGGAUAACUUCGGGAAACCGGAGCUAAUACCGGAUAAUAUUUUGAACCGCAUGGUUCAAAAGUGAAAGACGGUCUUGCUGUCACUUAUAGAUGGAUCCGCGCUGCAUUAGCUAGUUGGUAAGGUAACGGCUUACCAAGGCAACGAUGCAUAGCCGACCUGAGAGGGUGAUCGCCCAACCGGAAACUGAGACACGGUCCAAACUCCAAGGGGGGGCAGCGGAGGGAAAUCUUCCGCAAUGGGCGAAAGCCUGACGGGGAAACCCCGGGGAGGGAAGAAAGUUCUUUGGAUCGAAAACCUCUUUUAUUGGGAAAAAAAAAAUGGUAAAGUAACUGUCAACAUUUUGGCGGUACCUAUAGAAAAAGCCACGGCAAGCUGCGG
rnacentral:rRNA from 1 species